rnacentral:rRNA from 1 species
UACGUAGGGGGCAAGCGUUGUCCGGAUUUAUUGGGCGUAAAGAGCUCGUAGGCGGUUUGUCGCGUCUGUUGUGAAAACCCGAGGCUCAACCUCGGGCCUGCAGUGGGUACGGGCAGACUAGAGUGCGGUAGGGGAGAUUGGAAUUCCUGGUGUAGCGGUGGAAUGCGCAGAUAUCAGGAGGAACACCAAUGGCGAAGGCAGAUCUCUGGGCCGUAACUGACGCUGAGGAGCGAAAGCAUGGGGAGCGAACAGG